GUCUACUUGACGAGUCCCAUAUAGGACGAAACGUGCGUCAUGGAU
rfam:Schistosoma mattheei strain Denwood, Zambia genome assembly, scaffold: SMTD_scaffold0012435